rnacentral:rRNA from 1 species
UACGUAGGGUGCAAGCGUUGUCCGGAAUCAUUGGGCGUAAAGAGCGUGUAGGCGGCCGUACAGGUCAGCUGUGAAAACUCGAGGCUCAACCUCGAGACGUCGGUUGAAACCGUACGGCUAGAGUCCGGAAGAGGAGAGUGGAAUUCCCGGUGUAGCGGUGAAAUGCGCAGAUAUCGGGAAGAACACCCGUGGCGAAGGCGGCUCUCUGGGACGGUACUGACGCUGAGACGCGAAAGCGUGGGGAGCGAACAGG